rnacentral:rRNA from 1 species
CCCCUAGACGUUCUGGGCUGCACGCGCGCUACAAUAAUACGCACAGCGAGUAUCACCGAGCUCGAAAGGGCAAGGUAAACAAUAGAAAAGGUACUGUAAUGGUUAUAGAUCCUUGUAAUUAUUGAUCUUCAACGAGGAAUUCCUAGUAAGUAUGUGUCAUCAUCACGCACUGAUUACGUCCCUGCCCUUUGUACACACCGCCCGUCGCUCCUACCGAUUGAGUGAGCCGAUGAAACUGCCGGAUGUGGACUAUUCAUAGUCUGCAGAAGAUAUUUGAAUCGUAGUGCUUAGAGGAAGGAGAAGUCGUAACA